GAUGAACGCUAGCGGCAGGCUUAACACAUGCAAGUCGAGGGGUAUAGUAGCAAUACUAGAGACCGGCGCACGGGUGCGUAACGCGUAUGCAAUCUACCUUUCACAGAGGGAUAGCCCAGAGAAAUUUGGAUUAAUACCUCAUAGUAUUAUAGUAUGGCAUCAUAUUAUAAUUAAAGUCACAACGGUGAAAGAUGAGCAUGCGUCCCAUUAGCUAGUUGGUAUGGUAACGGCAUACCAAGGCGACGAUCUGUAACUGGUCUGAGAGGAUGAUCAGUCACACUGGAACUGAGACACGGUCCAGACUCCUACGGGAGGCAGCAGUGGGGAAUAUUGGACAAUGGGCGAAAGCCUGAUCCAGCCAUGCCGCGUGUGUGAAGAA
rnacentral:rRNA from 1 species